rnacentral:rRNA from 1 species
AAUGAACGCUGGCGGCGUGCUUAACACAUGCAAGUCGAGCGAGGCCUGGGGGGCAACUCCCAGAGUCGAGCGGCGGACGGGUGAGUAACACGUGGGUAACCUGCCCGGAAGUGGGGAAUAACCUCGGGGAAAACUCGAGCUAAAUACCGCAUGACAUCUCCGGGACGAAAAGUCCUGGCGAUCAAAAGCGGGGUCGCAAGAUCUCGCGCUACCGGAUGGGCCCGCGCC